rnacentral:rRNA from 1 species
UGGGGAAUAUUGGACAAUGGGCGCAAGCCUGAUCCAGCCAUGCCGCGUGAGUGAUGAAGGUUUUAGGAUUGUAAAGCUCUUUCGAUGGGGAAGAUAAUGACGGUACCCAUAAAAGAAGUCCCGGCUAACUCCGUGCCAGCAGCCGCGGUAAUACGGAGGGGGCAAGCGUUGCUCGGAUUCACUGGGCGUAAAGCGACCGCAGGUGGUCUAUCAAGUCAGAUGUGAAAGCCCUGGGCUCAACCCAGGAACUGCAUUUGAAACUAGUAGACUAGAGUUGUUCAGAGGAAGGCGGAAUUACCAGUGUAGAGGUGAAAUUCGUAGAUAUUGGUAGGAACACCGAAGAUGAAGAUAGCUUUCUGGGAACAUACUGACACUCAGGGUCGAAAGCGUGGGGAGCAAACAGGAUUAGAUACCCCCGUAGUCC